AUAUAACCUGGCAGGGGAGAUACCAUGAUCACAAAGGUGGUUCACCCAGGGGGAGGUUCAUCCAUUGUACCCUGGUUGUGCUGACCCUUGCGAAUUCCCCACGUGUGAAUCUUGACUGCAUAAUUUCUGGUAGUGGGGGACUGCGUUCAUACUCUUU